rnacentral:rRNA from 1 species
CAGCCGCCACGGGAAUACGGAGGGGGCUAGCGUUGUUCGGAAUUACUGGGCGUAAAGCGCACGUAGGCGGCUUGGUAAGUUAGAGGUGAAGGCCUGGAGCUCAACUCCAGAAUUGCCUUUAAGACUGCCGAGCUAGCAGGUGAGAGAGGUAAGUGGAAUUCCGAGUGUAGAGGUGAAAUUCGUAGAUAUUCGGAAGAACACCAGUGGCGAAGGCGGCUUACUGGCUCAUACUGGACGCUGAGGUGCGAAAGCGUGGGGAGCAAACAGGAUUAGAUACCCGCGUAGUCCCUGUCUCUUAUAC